rnacentral:rRNA from 1 species
AUUGAACGCUGGCGGCAUGCCUUACACAUGCAAGUCGAACGGCAGCAUGGAGAGCUUGCUCUCUGAUGGCGAGUGGCGAACGGGUGAGUAAUGCAUCGGAACGUACCGUGUAAUGGGGGAUAACGUAGCGAAAGUUACGCUAAUACCGCAUACGACCUGAGGGUGAAAGCAGGGGAUCGCAAGACCUUGCGUUAUACGAGCGGCCGAUGUCAGAUUAGCUAGUUGGUGAGGUAAAGGCUCACCAAGGCGACGAUCUGUAGCGGGUCUGAGAGGAUGAUCCGCCACACUGGGACUGAGACACGGCCCAGACUCCUACGGGAGGCAGCAGUGGGGAAUUUUGGACAAUGGGGGCAACCCUGAUCCAGCCAUGCCGCGUGAGUGAAGAAGGCCUUCGGGUUGUAAAGCUCUUUAGUCGGGGAGGAUGGUAGAGCAGGUUAAGAGCUAGCUUUGCUGACGUUACCCGAAGAAUAAGCACCGGCUAACUCCGUGCCAGCCGCCGCAGUAA